rnacentral:rRNA from 1 species
UGGGGAAUUUUGGACAAUGGGCGAAAGCCUGAUCCAGCAAUGCCGCGUGUGUGAAGAAGGCCUUCGGGUUGUAAAGCACUUUUGUCCGGAAAGAAAUCCUUGGCUCUAAUACAGUCGGGGGAUGACGGUACCGGAAGAAUAAGCACCGGCUAACUACGUGCCAGCAGCCGCGGUAAUACGUAGGGUGCAAGCGUUAAUCGGAAUUACUGGGCGUAAAGCGUGCGCAGGCGGUUUGCUAAGACCGAUGUGAAAUCCCCGGGCUCAACCUGGGAACUGCAUUGGUGACUGGCAGGCUAGAGUAUGGCAGAGGGGGGUAGAAUUCCACGUGUAGCAGUGAAAUGCGUAGAGAUGUGGAGGAAUACCGAUGGCGAAGGCAGCCCCCUGGGCCAAUACUGACGCUCAUGCACGAAAGCGUGGGGGAGCAAAACAGGAUUAGAUACCCUGGUAGUCCACGCCCUAAAACGAUGUCAACUAGUUGUUGGGGAUUCAUUUCCUUAGUAACGUAGCUAACGCGUGAAGUUGACCGCCUGGGGAGUACGGUCG